rnacentral:lncRNA from 1 species
UUGGCGUGGGCACAUCGACUUCUUCUGCACCACAAAUGAUGACCUAGCUCGAAAAAUAGAUAGAUUUCACACUCUGCUUCGUUCCUUUCUUGAGUUGCUACGAAUAGACAUUAGAGACUCCAGAGACUUCCUAUCUGCUGAUCUUAAUAGGCUCCAAAUUACUGUGAGGGGGAUCUUGUCUCAACUUGAUGCCAUCAGGACUCAGCUUCAGUCUAGGCCCUCUAUAUCUAAUGAGCCAGAUUUGUUCAGCCUAUUGCUUUUCGUCCUCCGACAUCUUUCUCUUGGUCCAGACCCUUUGAUCACGGAUGAGGCUGAUCAUGUUUUUACCUAUCUGGAUCUUGUGCUCGAUGCCCAGUUUCUCUGACUUUAUUUUGUAUUAGAUUACUAAGUUGUAUUUUAUAGAUUGGAUGUAUGAGAGCUUUAUGCUCUUUAUGACUCUUGUAACCUCUAUUUUCGUGUAUAUGAAUGAGGUUGUUUCCUUUCUACUCAUGUCUCUUUGGAUGAAUGUUUAUUAUCAUAUCCCUUUGGUUAUAUGAAUAUUUAUUAUUAUGUCUCUUUGGAUGAAUAAAUGCUUAGUAUCAUUUUCUGUUGGAUGGAUGAAUGUGGUAUCAUGCUCUAUUUUCUUAAUACUUGACUUAACACCAUAAACAUCCUACU